AUGACCUGGGAUUAUAGUGGACCUGAAGGCGCAAUAAGGAAUUACCCUGCUAUGCUAAGUGGCAAAACCUACAUUCAAACCAGUGUACUAGAUCUUUCUGCAAGCCAGUGCUCCAGUACCCAGUCCUACCAGUGCCAUAUCAAACACUAUGACACCAAUAAUAACCUGAUGGUUCCCUGUAAAGAAGUUCCAAACAAUUGUUCUUGCGAAACUACUUAUGUAAUCCUGAGUCCUCCCUCCCUGGAAAGCUUGCUUUUGGGCACAGGCGCCAAUCUGACAUGUACACUCGGUGGCCUCAAGAACAGCAAAGGAGUCAAGUUUACCUGGGUAAAAACUCCGGCCCAGGGAUCAACUCUCAACCCUAUUCAGGGAACACCUCAGCAGGACUCAAGUGGCAAGUACAGCGUGUCCAGUGUCCUGGAGAUCUGUGCUGAGGAGUGGACCCGUGGGGAUAGCUUUUCUUGCACUGUGUCCCACCCUGAGAUAGAAACCACUACCAAGAAGAUCCACAAAGUCAAAGUGAUGGAGAAACCACCCCAAGUCUACCUGCUGCCACCAUCAGCAAGUGAAAGCUCCUUAAAUGAAUGGGUCUCACUCGUAUGCAUGGCGAGGAAUUUCAGCCCAAAGGAAAUAUUGCUACACUGGCUGAAAGGGUCUGAGAAGCUGCCCAGAAAGGACUACAUCAUCAGUGGCCCUUACCCAGAACCCAAGGGCACCAACACUUUUAUAAUAAUCAGCGUCAUUCAAGUCUCAGCCUCCGACUGGAAUAAAGAAAACUUUUCCUGUGUGGUAGGCCAUGAAGCUCUUCCCUUGAACUUCACCCAGCAAACCAUUGACCGAUUCUCUGGUAAACCCACCAAUGUCAAUGUAUCUGUCAUCAUGUCUGAUGUCUAUGGUACAUGUUAUUGA